rnacentral:rRNA from 1 species
GGGUUGUGAGGUUAAGCGAAUAAGCGUACACGGUGGAUGCCUAGGCAAUCAGAGGCGAUGAAGGACGUGCUAAUCUGCGAAAAGCGUCGGUAAGGUGAUAUGAACCGUUAUACCCGACGAUAUCCGAAUGGGGAAACCCAGUAUCCAAUGGAUACUAUCAUUAACUGAAUCCAUAGGUUAAUGAGGCGAACCGGGAGAACUGAAACAUCUCAGUACCCCGAGGAAAAGAAAUCAACCGAGAUUCCCCUAGUAGCGGCGAGCGAACGGGGAGCAGCCCAGAGUCUUAAUCAAUAGCAGUGUCAGGAGAACGGUCUGGAAAGUCCGGCAGUAAAGGGUGAUAGCCCCGUAUCUGAAGAUGCUGUUAUUGUGAACUCGACGAGUAGGGCGGGACACGUGUUAUCCUGUCUGAAUAUGGGGGGACCAUCCUCCAAGGCUAAAUACUCCUGAUUGACCGAUAGUGAACCAGUACCGUGAGGGAAAGGCGAAAAGAACCCCGGCGAGGGGAGUGAAAAAGAACCUGAAACCGUGUACGUACAAGCAGUAGGAGCCCCAUCACUCAAGUGCCUCGCACUGAGUGAUGCAAUAACAUCACCGAAAAUAGCGCCGAAUUUGCUAACAAGGUUGGUCGAUUUUUUCAAGCCGUCGCGCAGUGUACCUAGAAGUACACGAGCAACGGAAGUUAAAAAAUCGGGCAAGAUUGAACGCAAAGGCAAGCGGGACAUUUGAGGAUGGGGUGACUGCGUACCUUUUGUAUAAUGGGUCAGCGACUUAUAUUCUGUAGCAAGGUUAACCGUAUAGGGGAGCCGUAGGGAAACCGAGUCUUAACUGGGCGAAUGAGUUGCAGGGUAUAGACCCGAAACCCGGUGAUCUAUCCAUGGGCAGGUUGAAGGUUGGGUAACACUAACUGGAGGACCGAACCGACUAAUGUUGAAAAAUUAGCGGAUGACUUGUGGAUGGGGGUGAAAGGCCAAUCAAACCGGGAGAUAGCUGGUUCUCCCCGAAAGCUAUUUAGGUAGCGCCUCGUGAACUCAUCUUCGGGGGUAGAGCACUGUUUCGACUAGGGGGUCAUCCCGACUUACCAACUCGAUGCAAACUGCGAAUACCGAAGAAUGUUAUCACGGGAGACACACGGCGGGUGCUAACGUCCGUCGUGAAGAGGGAAACAACCCAGACCGCCAGCUAAGGUCCCAAAGUCAUGGUUAAGUGGGAAACGAAGUGGGAAGGCUCAGACAGCCAGGAUGUUGGCUUAGAAGCAGCCAUCAUUUAAAGAAAGCGUAAUAGCUCACUGGUCGAGUCGGCCCGCGCGGAAGAUGUAACGGGGCUAAACCAUGCACCGAAGCUGCGGCAGCGAACGUAUCACUUAAAUUUGUUUGAGUGAAUAACGAUUGACGGAACGAAGUGACGUCAAUGCGUUAAUGAAAGUCGAGGCGAAAGCACGACAAAGCGAAUUUAAGGAUACGUUCGUUGGGUAGGGGAGCGUUCUGUAAGCCUGCGAAGGUGUACUGUGAGGUAUGCUGGAGGUAUCAGAAGUGCGAAUGCUGACAUAAGUAACGAUAAUGCGGGUGAAAAACCCGCACGCCGGAAGACCAA